CUUAACUACUGAGCCACCCAGGUGUGGGGCAUUCUUGUUGAGCAUAUAUUCCCUCUCCUUCCUCUUCCCAUGAAAGGAGUAGACUUUUCCACACCAGUAGAGGGCUUAGCCAUGUGACCUGUUUGGCCAGUGAAAUGUGAAUAUCCGAGCAGAGGUAUGCUGUUAUAGUGUGGGUUCUGUGUUCUCUCCCUUUCCCACAGGAAGGACAUGCUCCAGCCUCCUACUGCUCCUUCAUCCUGGGUCCUAAAAUAGAAAGACAUGAGACAGCCCUGAACCCAACUUGAUGCAAUGCUGCUAAAAUGCUGACCUACAGACCCGCAGGCAAGGAUACAGGUAACCUGCUGUUAGAUUUCAAUCACAUUCCUCACGUGCCCAUGAUGUGCGGAAGCAGUUUGAUGCAUCUGUGACACUGACUUGAAGAAAUGGCCUAAGACUUCCUGUCUAUGAACCCACUGCCUAGUGGGAAGCCCAUCAGCAGGAGAACUUGAAUGGCUCCACCCUAUUCCUAUGAGGCUUGUGCACACGGUAUGAGCUGUGCCCAUCAGAUUCUCUCCCUGGACCUUAACCUCAACUGAAAAGACACAAAAGACAAGGAAAGCCUGGCCUCUGAGAUGCGCCCCUGGUGAGCUCCAACCUAUGAGAACUAGCGUCGGUUCAUGGCGCCUGGUCAUUGGCCUGACUACUGCUUUCUAGAGUUGAGGGAAUGAGUAAAGCCGAGAGAGAACUGCAGAUGCUGGCUUCUGGGAAACCAGCCUGAUGACCUGAAACUGGAGAAGUUCCCCAGACGGUGUGAGGGGGAUUGUCCUCCUGACCCCUCACCUCCCCACAGCCCUGGGUCACCUUCCUCUGUUUACUGAGAACACGCCUGUGAGAAAACCCGGGCCUGCCUGGGCUGGUGAGCAGUGUAUGAGAGAAUUUGAACUUUAUCCAUCUUGACAUUUCUGCCUUGGUAUGUGUGACUGUUCUUACACAUAUGGAUUGGAUCAAAUGAGAUAAUUUAUGCAAAAGAACUUUGCAAUUUUUCGAGGGCUAUCCAAGCAAGGUAUUGCUUGUUGCUAUUAUUACCAUCCCAAAGGAAAGGGUUUCCUCUUUAACAUACCCAUGUAUUUGAUUAAAAUUAGGUGGUAAAUUGGCAAACCCAUAAAGUGCUUUCUUGUGUCGUCUGUCACCUGUACCUAUGGUGACCAUAUGGCCUGCGUUUUCCAGGAUGGCCCAGAUUCCACGUCAUUUUAUUCUUUUUUUUUUUUUUAAA